AAUAAGUGCAGUUUUGUACUAUUUACGUAGAAACUUUUUUUAUGAUUAGUAUUUUUAUUGCUAUUAGAUGAUAAAACAUGAAUAAUACUUUAUGUGUGACUAAAUAUUUUUAAAUUUUUCACAAAAUUUUUAAAUAAGACAGACGUACGGUUAAACGUUGGAGACGGAUAUCUACGGCUGUACUUAUU
rfam:Oryza sativa Japonica Group DNA, chromosome 3, cultivar: Nipponbare, complete sequence.